CUAUACAUGCAAGUCGAGCGAAUGGAUUAAGAGCUUGCUCUUAUGAAGUUAGCGGCGGACGGGUGAGUAACACGUGGGUAACCUGCCCAUAAGACUGGGAUAACUCCGGGAAACCGGGGCUAAUACCGGAUAACAUUUUGAACCGCAUGGUUCGAAAUUGAAAGGCGGCUUCGGCUGUCACUUAUGGAUGGACCCGCGUCGCAUUAGCUAGUUGGUGAGGUAACGGCUCACCAAGGCAACGAUGCGUAGCCGACCUGAGAGGGUGAUCGGCCACACUGGGACUGAGACACGGCCCAGACUCCUACGGGAGGCAGCAGUAGGGAAUCUUCCGCAAUGGACGAAAGUCUGACGGAGCAACGCCGCGUGAGUGAUGAAGGCUUUCGGGUCGUAAAACUCUGUUGUUAGGGAAGAACAAGUGCUAGUUGAAUAAGCUGGCACCUUGACGGUACCUAACCAGAAAGCCACGGCUAACUACGUGCCAGCAGCCGCGGUAAUACGUAGGUGGCAAGCGUUAUCCGGAAUUAUUGGGCGUAAAGCGCGCGCAGGUGGUUUCUUAAGUCUGAUGUGAAAGCCCACGGCUCAACCGUGGAGGGUCAUUGGAAACUGGGAGACUUGAGUGCAGAAGAGGAAAGUGGAAUUCCAUGUGUAGCGGUGAAAUGCGUAGAGAUAUGGAGGAACACCAGUGGCGAAGGCGACUUUCUGGUCUGUAACUGACACUGAGGCGCGAAAGCGUGGGGAGCAAACAGGAUUAGUCUUUUUUUU
rnacentral:rRNA from 1 species